GUGAUUCUCCUGCCUCAGCCUCCCAAGUAGCUGGGACUACAGGCGCCCACCACCACGCUGGGCUAAUUUUUUUUGUAUUUUUAGUAGAGACGGGGUGUCACCGUGUUAGCCAGGAUGGUCUUGAUCUCCUGACCUCGUGAUCCGCCCGCCUCAGCCUCCCAAAGUGCUGGGAUUACAGGCGUGAGCCACCAUGCCUGGCCUUGUUCAGGGUUUCAAAGCUCGUUGGGCAAUUAACCCUCCACAUUCUGUGGAUUUCCUUUUGCCCAGGAAACAAACGCUCCCCACGUGACCUCCUCCACUCACCACUCCCGACUUGGGCCAUGGAAAGGUCCCCAGACUAUGCUGCUGCUCCACCCACCCCCACCCCUACUCACACUCCCUCCCCCACUCUCCCCCCACAACCCCCACCCCCAUCCUGCCUGGGCUGUAUUUUGCUGAUAAGAUUAGCCCAAUAUUGUGGAUUCAACUCCCAAUCCCCCCACACAAUGGCCUGGGUGUAAAUUUCCCUACUUCCUAAAAUGUCCCAUCUUCCCUCCCUAUUUUGUCCUUUUCCUGAGAGACCUGACUCCAAGGCUGUGACCCACCCAGGGGUUGAGAAGCUGACGGCUGUGGGGUUCUGCAGUCCCCAGUGGGAAUUUGGCAGUGACCAGCCACUGCUGAGUGUCCCUGCUCUGGGACUCGACCUCUCUGAGCUCUGAUUUCUUUCUUUUUUUUUUUUUGAGACAGGGCCUCUCUCUGUCACCCAGGCUUAAGUGCAGUGGUGCGACCUUGGAUCACUGCAGCCUCAAUCCCCUGGGCUCCAGCAAUCCUCACACCUCAGCCUCUUGAGUAGCUGGGACCACAGCGAUGGGGUCUCACCGUGUUACCCAGGCUGGUCUGAAACUCCCGGGCUAAAGUGAUCCUCCCACCUCUGCCUCAUUUCUCCUAUUAAUCUUCCUUUUGUGAGUUGAUUUUUCAAGGAACCUUCAGAGGGUGAAGGGGAAGAUCACCCAGUUUGAUGGGAA
rnacentral:lncRNA from 1 species